GGCGACCGGCCACACUGGGACUGAGACACGGCCCAGACUCCUACGGGAGGCAGCAGUGGGGAAUAUUGCACAAUGGGCGAAAGCCUGAUGCAGCGACGCCGCGUGAGGGAUGAAGGCCUUCGGGUUGUAAACCUCUUUCAGCAGGGAAGAAGCGCAAGUGACGGUACCUGCAGAAGAAGCGCCGGCUAACUACGUGCCAGCAGCCGCGGUAAUACGUAGGGCGCAAGCGUUGUCCGGAAUUAUUGGGCGUAAAGAGCUCGUAGGCGGUUUGUCGCGUCUGGUGUGAAAACUCGAGGCUCAACCUCGAGCUUGCAUCGGGUACGGGCAGACUAGAGUGCGGUAGGGGAGACUGGAAUUCCUGGUGUAGCGGUGGAAUGCGCAGAUAUCAGGAGGAACACCGAUGGCGAAGGCAGGUCUCUGGGCCGCAACUGACGCUGAGGAGCGAAAGCAUGGGGAGCGAACAGGAUUAGAUACCCUGGUAGUCCAUGCCGUAAACGUUGGGCACUAGGUGUGGGGCUCAUUCCACGAGUUCCGUGCCGCAGCAAACGCAUUAAGUGCCCCGCCUGGGGAGUACGGCCGCAAGGCUAAAACUCAAAGGAAUUGACGGGGGCCCGCACAAGCGGCGGAGCAUGCGGAUUAAUUCGAUGCAACGCGAAGAACCUUACCAAGGCUUGACAUGCACGAGAAGCCACCAGAGAUGGUGGUCUCUUUGGACACUCGUGCACAGGUGGUGCAUGGUUGUCGUCAGCUCGUGUCGUGAGAUGUUGGGUUAAGUCCCGCAACGAGCGCAACCCUCGUCCCAUGUUGCCAGCGGGUUAUGCCGGGGACUCAUGGGAGACUGCCGGGGUCAACUCGGAGGAAGGUGGGGAUGACGUCAAAUCAUCAUGCCCCUUAUGUCUUGGGCUUCACGCAUGCUACAAUGGCCGGUACAAAGGGCUGCGAUACCGUAAGGUGGAGCGAAUCCCAAAAAGCCGGUCUCAGUUCGGAUUGGGGUCUGCAACUCGACCCCAUGAAGUCGGAGUCGCUAGUAAUCGCAGAUCAGCAACGCUGCGGUGAAUAC
rnacentral:rRNA from 1 species